CGAAACCUGCAGUUCAUCUGGUCAUCAGCUCCUUUCUCCGCCCACUAUACCAUAAAUUGCGAGCAUUUAAACGCGCAAUUGAAUAGGCCUCCUUCUCUCUUUCUGUAAUGGACAAGCCACCAAAGUCAAAACAGCGAAAACAAAGAUUUAGUAAAAACGAAAUUGUGCUUGUUCAUGAGAUCGUCUACUCGGCCUUUGUCUUCGUCUUUCUCGGAUUACUGCUGUCAUUUCACCAGGAGGCAUAUGGAAGGGAACCCGCGUGCAUCCAGGUUUACACCUGCUUUCUGUGGCUGGUUUAUAUAUGAAGCAACCUUGAAACCGGGCUGAGA